rnacentral:piRNA from 1 species
UGCCAGGACAUGGGUGACCAUGAGAGGA